GCCAGGCGUGGUGGCACAUGCCUGUAAUCCCAGCUACUUGGGAGGCUGAAGCAGAGGAAUUGCUUGAACCUGGGAGGCAGAGGUUGCAGUGAGCCGAGAUCGCGCCGUUGCACUCCAGCCUGGGCAACAAGAGCGAGGCUCUUUUUUUUUUUUUUGAGACAGAGUCUCACUCUGUCGCCCAGGCUAGAGUGUAACGGCACGAUCUCGGUUCACUGCAACCUCCACCUCCCAAGUUCGAGCAAUUCUCCUACCUCA
ensembl:misc_RNA Metazoa_SRP Metazoan signal recognition particle RNA